rnacentral:rRNA from 1 species
GCAUAGAAAUCUGCCCGGUAGUGGGGGAUAACCUGGGGAAACCCAGGCUAAUACCGCAUACGUCCUACGGGAGAAAGCAGGGGAUCUUCGGACCUUGCGCUAUCGGAUGAGUCUAUGUCGGAUUAGCUUGUUGGUGAGGUAAUGGCUCACCAAGGCGACGAUCCGUAGCUGGUCUGAGAGGAUGAUCAGCCACAUCGGGACUGAGACACGGCCCGAACUCCUACGGGAGGCAGCAGUGGGGAAUAUUGGACAAUGGGCGAAAGCCUGAUCCAGCCAUGCCGCGUGUGUGAAGAAGGCCUUCGGGUUGUAAAGCACUUUCAGUGGGGAAGAAAGCCUUGGGGCUAAUACCCUCGAGGAAGGACAUCACCCACAGAAGAAGCACCGGCUAACUCCGUGCCAGCAGCCGCGGUAAUACGGAGGGUGCGAGCGUUAAUCGGAAUUACUGGGCGUAAAGCGCGCGUAGGCGGUCUGAUAAGCCGGUUGUGAAAGCCCCGGGCUCAACCUGGGAACGGCAUCCGGAACUGUCAGGCUAGAGUGCAGGAGAGGAAGGUAGAAUUCCCGGUGUAGCGGUGAAAUGCGUAGAGAUCGGGAGGAAUACCAGUGGCGAAGGCGGCCUUCUGGACUGACACUGACGCUGAGGUGCGAAAGCGUGGGUAGCAAACAGGAUUAGAUACCCUGGUAGUCCACGCCGUAAACGAUGUCGACUAGCCGUUGGGGUCCUUGAGACCUUUGUGGCGCAGUUAACGCGAUAAGUCGACCGCCUGGGGAGUACGGCCGCAAGGGUAAAACUCAAAUGAAUUGACGGGGGCCCGCACAAGCGGUGGAGCAUGUGGUUUAAUUCGAUGCAACGCGAAGAACCUUACCUACCCUUG